UCCAGCAGCCAUAUCACCCUGCAACUCACAACUGGCAACCCACUGAAGCUAAGCAUGAGCCUGGUCAGUACCUGGAUGGGAGACCUCCUAGGAAAAACUAAGGUUGCUGCUGGAA
rnacentral:rRNA from 1 species